AUUGAACGCUGGCGGCAGGCCUAACACAUGCAAGUCGAACGAGUGGCGGACGGGUGAGUAAUGUCUGGGAACUGCCCGAUGGAGGGGGAUAACUAUUGGAAACGAUAGCUAAUACCGCAUACUGUGAGAUGGACCUGCGUUGUAUUAGCUAGUUGGUGAGGUAAAGGCUCACCAAGGCGACGAUACAUAGCCGACCUGAGGGGGGGAACGGCCCCACUGGGACUGUGGCCCGGCCCCGACUCCUCCGGGGAGCAGCAGUAGGGAAUCUUCGGCAAUGGACGGAAGUCUUACCGAGGAACGCCGGCGGGGUGAAGGAGGUUUUCGGAUCGUAAAGCUCUGUUGUUAGGGGAGCGGUAACUAACCAGAAAGGGACGGCUAACUACGUGCCAGCAGCCGCGGUAAUAC
rnacentral:rRNA from 1 species